rnacentral:rRNA from 1 species
UGGGGAAUAUUGCACAAUGGGCGCAAGCCUGAUGCAGCCAUGCCGCGUGUAUGAAGAAGGCCUUCGGGUUGUAAAGUACUUUCAGCGAGGAGGAAGGCAUUGUGGUUAAUAACCGCAGUGAUUGACGUUACUCGCAGAAGAAGCACCGGCUAACUCCGUGCCAGCAGACGCGGUAAUACGGAGGGUGCAAGCGUUAAUCGGAAUUACUGGGCGUAAAGCGCACGCAGGCGGUCUGUCAAGUCGGAUGUGAAAUCCCCGGGCUCAACCUGGGAACUGCAUCCGAAACUGGCAGGCUAGAGUCUUGUAGAGGGGGGUAGAAUUCCAGGUGUAGCGGUGAAAUGCGUAGAGAUCUGGAGGAAUACCGGUGGCGAAGGCGGCCCCCUGGACAAAGACUGACGCUCAGGUGCGAAAGCGUGGGGAGCAAACA